rnacentral:tRNA from 1 species
UCUUCGAUAGUACAGGGGUUAGUAUAUCCGCUUUUCAGGAACUCAACUUCCAUGAUUCCCCGCGGACGACCCGGGUUCGAAUCCCGGUCGGAGAA